UUUGGAAUCUUGCCCAAUGGGGGAAACCCUGAGGCAGCGACGCCGCGUGGAGGAUGAAGGAUCUAGGUCUGUAAACUCCUUUUAUCGGGAAAGACUUAGGACGGUACCCGAUGAAUAAGCACCGGCUAACUACGUGCCAGCAGCCGCGGUAAGACGUAGGGUGCAAGCGUUGUCCGGAUUUACUGGGCGUAAAGGACGCGUAGGCGGUUCGUUAAGUGUGAAGUGAAAUCUCCAGGGCUCAACCCGGAAACUGCUUUACAUACUGGCGGACUGGAGGGAUGCAGAGGUAAGUAGAAUUCCUGGUGUAGCGGUGAAAUGCGUUGAUAUCAGGAGGAAUACCGAUGGCGAAGGCAGCUUACUGGGCAUCAUCUGACGCUGAGGCGUGAAAGCGUGGGUAGCA
rnacentral:rRNA from 1 species